GUUCCAGCCUCGAGUCCAAACAGAGCUUUUGGGCUUUUCUCAUGUUGUUCUCAGCUCAUCUGCUGUCUAUCUUUGCUUUUGUCUUUGUACUGUGGUUUCGAAACGUCUGCUUACAAGCUUACCAGAGCUGGACCUGAAUUUCUCUGAGUCACCGAGUCGUCGUCGCCAGGUUGAGAUUUUUUCGUGUACUCAGUCAAGUGAACAGAACAAAUAAUGCUUUCUGUUCGACAGAUAGCAGCAGCAAGUUGUAGUAGAAUUAAAGAAAGAUGCAGAAUAAAUGGAGCGAGCCAAUUUUUUCAAUCAUUUUCUACCAAAAAAGGGGAGGAUGAAUGGAAUGAUGCAUGGGAAACAGCGUGGCUACCAGAGGAUCUAACAGCUAAGAACAGAGCUCCAUGGGAAAUGGACGUCAAUUUCUCUUCACCCACAGGGAUAGAGGACGCUGAGACCAAGGCUUUUGUUGAGGAAAUGAAUGAUAACUGGGAUGAGCGGCGGAAAACCCAUCCACAACCACAGCCAAAGAAUGAUAAUAAUAAAAAUGGAGGUGAUUCGCUUUAUAAUUUGGACAAUAUGAAAAAAGAUUACAGAUUGAAGAAGCAAAGAAUUCAUGCUGGAUUAUGGACCAAGGAAAUUGAGAAGCAGCAGGAGGAGGCUAUGAAUGCUACAUUGGGAGAUUCUUCUCCUGAUGACAUCGACAGAUUGCUUGAUAGCUGCUCUGAAAUUUUUGACACUGCCAAUGAUGACUUGGACAACUCAAAAAUCCCAAGCUCUUCCGAGUUUAAAAAUAAACCUGAUGGUUGGGAAACAACAGCGAAGGCACAAGAUGGAAAUAUAUGGGAAAUGUCACAGAGGGAGGAAGAUAUUCUCCUCCAAGAAUUUGAUCGUAGAAUAGCAUACAGCAAAUUCCAGAUAGCUAGUUUUAUCAAGACUCACAUAUUUAGCCGGAGGAGGCCUAUUGAUGGUUGGAAAUACAUGAUAGAAGAACUAGGACCAAAUGCCAAGAAAGGGAAGGGUAGUGCUACAAGAGUGCCGAGCCUAUCUGAUCCAUCAACACAACCAUACAAAGAGGACACGAAACUAAUUACUCACAAAGGGAGGUAGUUCAGUUCCCGACUCCGCCGAACUUGUUUGUUCCCAGCCAUUGAUGUUUCCCUGGGGAAUAAGCACAAGUCAAACAGUGUUUCCCUUAUUUUUUUAAAGAGUUUUCUCUCGAACUCCAGAGUUGUGCUUUAUCAGUUUAGGGAGCAUGCCUGCUUCUGAGAUUCACAUGUUCAUCCAUGAAUGAUUUAGUUUUUUCCCUGCCUCUGUAGAUCGUCUAUACAAAUAGUGGUCGUAGUUGAUCAAACCGUACAGGGAUAAAUCUCAGAAUCUAAUAAAUCAACCAAUCUAUCUCUUUUUCUUUA